UGUUGCAUAUAUAAUGUAAUAGUUCGAUUUCCAUGCCCUUGGUUUGCGUGUUUAUCUGUUCGUGUUUGGGUAAAGAGAGUGUGUAGCCAUAUGAUACAUCAUCAUCUUCUUCUUCUUCGUUCUGGACACGCGACAAUUAACAUAGGGUUUGGGAUUGAUGCGCAGGUUACAUGGCAUGUUGCCGUUACUUGCUGAGUUGACUCUCCAAACACUGAUGGAAUAGAUCCAGGCGACUCAUGUUUAAGAAAGAAUUUGACACAAGCUAUGUGGGAUUCAAUUCUGGAUCAGAGCUUCUCUCUCGUCAGAAUUUAUGUAAUGCGUACCUUGACUUCUAAAUACAUGUCAUCUUGCUACCUUCUAUAUGGCUGCUCUGUGCCACUAUAUGGAAUUGACUCCUAUGCUUUUGACAUUAGUUUGUAAAUAUUGCAAUUCAACUUGUUUAUUUAUGGAAGAAUUCAUUCAGCCUUAUUUUGGUUGCUAAAGAAAAAAAAUAAUUGCUUAUAAUUUUUGUUUGAGUGCAGCCAAAUUGCUAUUCCAGAGUUAUAAGUGUUAAUGGCGAUGAACAUAUUAUAAUAUUUGCGCAGAGGGACAUUAAACAGUGGGAAGAGCUUACAUAUGAUUACAGGUUUACCUCUUCUCCAAAUGAGGCAGAGGGAGCAAUUGCUGUUAUUAUUAUUAGGAGUGUUUGGAAAGCAUCCUUGAAUAUCUUGCUGAUCAGAAGGACCCUACUACUUUAUGCCAGAAAUUUAUUGAUGAGUUUGAUCGAUGCAUCCUCAGUUAUUUCGCAUUUAAUUGGAACCAAGCUUCUUAUAUGAUUAGUCAGGUACAGUAUAUAUAAUUUAGAACAAAACUUUGCAUGCAGUAUACUUCAAGCAGAUUUUGGUACUAAUAAGUGUCCUAACAUUUGUUACUUUUGGGGAUGAUAAUAAUAGGCAAUUUAUAAGUAGAGUAUUAGAGUAUUUGUAUCAUCCUCGUAUUUAUUGAACAGAUUUGGCUAUAUUAUUUGGGGAUGUUUUAAAAAAAUGUAUAUAUGAGAUGCUUGUAAUACUUCUUACAAAGUAAUAAAAUUAAAAAAUAUAUAUUUAA